rnacentral:tRNA from 1 species
CCAAAAAAUUGGUGCAACUCCAAAUAAAAGUA